rnacentral:rRNA from 1 species
CUUGCUGGAUGCUGACGAGCGGCGGACGGGUGAGUAAUGCAUAGGAAUCUGCCCGAUAGUGGGGGAUAACCUGGGGAAACCCAGGCUAAUACCGCAUACGUCCUACGGGAGAAAGGGGGCUCCGGCUCCCGCUAUGGGAUGAGCCUAUGUCGGAUUAGCUAGUUGGUGAGGUAACGGCUCACCAAGGCCACGAUCCGUAGCUGGUCUGAGAGGAUGAUCAGCCACAUCGGGACUGAGACACGGCCCGAACUCCUACGGGAGGCAGCAGUGGGGAAUAUUGGACAAUGGGGGAAACCCUGAUCCAGCCAUGCCGCGUGUGUGAAGAAGGCCCUCGGGUUGUAAAGCACUUUCAGCGAGGAAGAACGCCUAGCGGUUAAUACCCGCUAGGAAAGACAUCACUCGCAGAAGAAGCACCGGCUAACUCCGUGCCAGCAGCCGCGGUAAUACGGAGGGUGCAAGCGUUAAUCGGAAUUACUGGGCGUAAAGCGCGCGUAGGUGGCUUGAUAAGCCGGUUGUGAAAGCCCCGGGCUCAACCUGGGAACGGCAUCCGGAACUGUCAAGCUAGAGUGCAGGAGAGGAAGGUAGAAUUCCCGGUGUAGCGGUGAAAUGCGUAGAGAUCGGGAGGAAUACCAGUGGCGAAGGCGGCCUUCUGGACUGACACUGACACUGAGGUGCGAAAGCGUGGGUAGCAAACAGGAUUAGAUACCCUGGUAGUCCACGCCGUAAACGAUGUCGACCAGCCGUUGGGUGCCUAGCGCACUUUGUGGCGAAGUUAACGCGAUAAGUCGACCGCCUGGGGAGUACGGCCGCAAGGUUAAAACUCAAAUGAAUUGACGGGGGCCCGCACAAGCGGUGGAGCAUGUGGUUUAAUUCGAUGCAACGCGAAGAACCUUACCUACUC